rnacentral:lncRNA from 1 species
ACAGAAAAUAACUUCAUUCUGCAAUUGAAAGAAUCACAGCAAGCUCUCAUUGUAUCAAGGCAAACUGGCGGUCAUACUCUUCUCUAAAUGAGCCAACACUCCCUAGGAGACCUCAGUAGAACUCCCUCUUCUCUGCUGGAAAGGUUUUGCCUCCCCAGGACCCAUCCCUCACCAUCCAUGCAUGACAUUCUGGCCUCAAGUAUCCACUCCUCAAAGGAAAAGAAAUUGGAGAGAUUCGCCUUGAAAAUAAGCCUUCAUAUUAGUGACUUCCUUCUUUUAAAGGACAUCGAACAAGUUUUAGAUGGGAUCUCUCUAUGUUGUCCAGGCUGGUCUCAAAU